UGUUUUAAGUUCUUCUCAUUUUGUCAGUGUUCUUCUUGUGUUCAAGAAAUAUAGGGUCCCCUAUAUUCCUUAUCUACAUCAUAAAUAAAACCUAUAGCUUGAAGUGUACAUCUCAAACUUUUGAGGUGAGCGCACGUCAAAAAUUGUGAGGUGUAUGCCUCACUAAAACCAAAUGCGACGUACACCUCAAACUGAGGCAUGCCUCAAAGCAUAAAGUCAUGGAGUUGAGACUAGAUAGAGUGGAUUCCAUAGGUGAGUGGGAAUCCCAGGAUGUUUUCACACUUUCCCUCAAGUGAAUGAAUGAAUGACAUCUAUUACAAAUUUGCUUGAUAAUUUUUUGAAAGAUUGCUCUUGGCAAUUUAAUAAACCAACUAAGAGCGGGAAGAAUGUUAUGCAUACUUGUACUAACCAUCUAUUGGAGAACAAUUUAUUGGCUUCCUUAAAAGCCUACCCAAAAUUGUUUGGAUAAAGGCCAAUGAUGAUGGUGGUGGAUGCUAUAUGGAAUAGACAGUGAGGACAUUCCUAUCCUGGUUUGAAAUAGCGUGCAACAAGAAAGGUGUUCUAAAACUGUAAUAAUCGUGUGUAUUAUGUUUUUGUUGAAACAUGUUAAUUUUAAGCAAUUAUUAUAACCAGCUAUAGUAUAUAUAAAAAACUUUAGUCUUGUAUUAGGGCACUUUAAUGAAAUUAAUUUACUGCUGAAUAAAAUUGAACGAUUUAUGUUUCCACUUUCUAAGACAUUUUUUAUUUUUCUCUCUUUCCCCUUCUUUUGUCCCUUCUCUCUCUUAUCUUCUCCAUUAAACGAUUAAGUCUACUUAAAGAACUAUUCUUUUCACAAUUUUCGUUUUUAUUCCUGGAUUCUUGUGUAUAAUGUCUUCUUAAAUAUCCUUGUCCUGGAAGCAGCUCUAAAAAAAAAUGCUGUUUUUUUUGCCCCCAAAGUCUCAAUUUUCUUCUUAUAGAGUCAUUAAAGAAUUAUUGUCAUGCGCUUUGAGCUGCUUUUCUCCAGGGCAAGAACAGUUGUCAAGGUUGGAGGAGAUGCUAUCUUUUGAAAAGCAAAAACGUUAUUGCCAACCAAGCCUACUGCAGCUAUGGUAAAACAAAACCGAGAGAAGUCUGUCCGAAAUGAACUAUUAGUUUGGUUCUAGUGACAGAAUGUCUUCUCAAUAAAGAAAUAGUGGUGUCUUUUGACGAUUGUCGUCAAGCUGGACCAAGGCUUUCCAUUUCUCAAUUUUUGCCAGGAGGAUACCCAUUUCGUUCAUCACAUGAUGCUUUCUUCCUCUACCACUGCAUCUUGUGUAAUAAGGAUAGGAACAAUAAUUUACAGCAGCAGCUUGAUGCGCUUUCAUUUUCAAGCAAAAGAAAGGUGUCCAAGGCGAAGGGUCCAGAAAAAUUAUCCCUUGCUUAUGAUAACAUAGGAACUAAAGAAUUGGUGAUUUCUGAAGCGGAACAAACAGCUAACACCACUAGUGUGGACAAACCACCAUCAAAAGAUGCUCAACCCUUGAAAGGAAGCCAGAGGGCUGUACCUGCACAUCGCCGAGCAAAAGCAAGAGGUGUUUCUUUGCAAGAUAAUGAGGAUGAUGAUGGAAAAUAGACAUUGUAGAUUUACUGAACGCUGGUUUUGGACAAUAAGAGUAUAUGUACAGAAUAAUCAACAACAGGUUAUGCCUUUGCAACAAAAUUGAAUAGUAGCUUAAUUUAUUUGAAUGCAUUUGGUGCAAAAGAAUAAAAGAUAAAAAGGAAAUAAAAAUAUGUUAGAUUUGAAGUAUUGCAGAUAUUAUUUGUAAUCCAAGCUGUCUCUAUUGUCAUGCUCAUCCAAGCUGCAAUUUGUACAACAUUAACACGUUUAUUUAGUUUUUUUUUUUUUUCAUUUUCCAAUGAGAUUAGAAUAGAAAUUUUUAAGCAGGAGACCUUGUUUUGGUUCUGUUUGAGCUCUGCUUUGUCUUUAAGAAAAUAAUUACUGUGUUCAAGUUUA